GGGAUCAUUACAGAGUUAUUUAACUCCUAAACCCCAUGUGAACUUACCUAUGUUGCCUCGGCGGGGAA
rnacentral:rRNA from 1 species